rnacentral:rRNA from 1 species
CAGGUAAAUCCGGUUCACUUUAACACUGAGGCGUGACGACGAGGCACUACGGUGCUGAAGCAACAAAUGCCCUGCUUCCAGGAAAAGCCUCUAAGCAUCAGGUAACAUCAAAUCGUACCCCAAACCGACACAGGUGGUCAGGUAGAGAAUACCAAGGCGCUUGAGAGAACUCGGGUGAAGGAACUAGGCAAAAUGGUGCCGUAACUUCGGGAGAAGGCACGCUGACACGUAGGUGAAGUGAUUUACUCAUGGAGCUGAAGUCAGUCGAAGAUACCAGCUGGCUGCAACUGUUUAUUAAAAACACAGCACUGUGCAAACACGAAAGUGGACGUAUACGGUGUGACGCCUGCCCGGUGCCGGAAGGUUAAUUGAUGGGGUCAGCGCAAGCGAAGCUCCUGAUCGAAGCCCCGGUAAACGGCGGCCGUAACUAUAACGGUCCUAAGGUAGCGAAAUUCCUUGUCGGGUAAGUUCCGACCUGCACGAAUGGCGUAAUGAUGGCCAGGCUGUCUCCACCCGAGACUCAGUGAAAUUGAACUCGCUGUGAAGAUGCAGUGUACCCGCGGCAAGACGGAAAGACCCCGUGAACCUUUACUAUAGCUUGACACUGAACAUUGAGCCUUGAUGUGUAGGAUAGGUGGGAGGCUUUGAAGUGUGGACGCCAGUCUGCAUGGAGCCGACCUUGAAAUACCACCCUUUAAUGUUUGAUGUUCUAACGUGGACCCGUGAUCCGGGUUGCGGACAGUGUCUGGUGGGUAGUUUGACUGGGGCGGUCUCCUCCUAAAGAGUAACGGAGGAGCACGAAGGUUGGCUAAUCCUGGUCGGACAUCAGGAGGUUAGUGCAAUGGCAUAAGCCAGCUUGACUGCGAGCGUGACGGCGCGAGCAGGUGCGAAAGCAGGUCAUAGUGAUCCGGUGGUUCUGAAUGGAAGGGCCAUCGCUCAACGGAUAAAAGGUACUCCGGGGAUAACAGGCUGAUACCGCCCAAGAGUUCAUAUCGACGGCGGUGUUUGGCACCUCGAUGUCGGCUCAUCACAUCCUGGGGCUGAAGUAGGUCCCAAGGGUAUGGCUGUUCGCCAUUUAAAGUGGUACGCGAGCUGGGUUUAGAACGUCGUGAGACAGUUCGGUCCCUAUCUGCCGUGGGCGCUGGAGAACUGAGGGGGGCUGCUCCUAGUACGAGAGGACCGGAGUGGACGCAUCACUGGUGUUCGGGUUGUCAUGCCAAUGGCACUGCCCGGUAGCUAAAUGCGGAAGAGAUAAGUGCUGAAAGCAUCUAAGCACGAAACUUGCCCCGAG